rnacentral:rRNA from 1 species
AACGAACGCUGGCGGCAGGCUUAACACAUGCAAGUCGAACGGGUGUAGCAAUACAUCAGUGGCAGACGGGUGAGUAACACGUGGGAACCUUCCUAGGGGUACGGAACAACUCAGGGAAACUUGAGCUAAUACCGUAUACGUCCGUGAGGAGAAAGAUUUAUCGCCCUUAGACGGGCCCGCGUCGGAUUAGCUAGUUGGUGGGGUAACGGCCUACCAAGGCGACGAUCCGUAGCUGAUCUUAGAGGAUGAUCAGCCACACUGGGACUGAGGCACGGCCCAGACUCCUACGGGAGGCAGCAGUGGGGAAUCUUGGACAAUGGGCGCAAGCCUGAUCCAGCCAUGCCGCGUGAGUGAAGAAGGUCUUCGGAUUGUAAAGCUCUUUUGCCAGGGACGAUGAUGACGGUACCUGGAGAAUAAGCCCCGGCAAACUUCGUGCCAGCCGCCGCGGUAACAC